rnacentral:rRNA from 1 species
UGGGGAAUAUUGGACAAUGGGCGAAAGCCUGAUCCAGCCAUGCCGCGUGUGUGAAGAAGGUCUUCGGAUUGUAAAGCACUUUAAGUUGGGAGGAAGGGCAGUAAGUUAAUACCUUGCUGUUUUGACGUUACCGACAGAAUAAGCACCGGCUAACUCUGUGCCAGCAGCCGCGGUAAUACAGAGGGUGCAAGCGUUAAUCGGAAUUACUGGGCGUAAAGCGCGCGUAGGUGGUUUGUUAAGUUGGAUGUGAAAGCCCCGGGCUCAACCUGGGAACUGCAUUCAAAACUGACUGACUAGAGUAUGGUAGAGGGUGGUGGAAUUUCCUGUGUAGCGGUGAAAUGCGUAGAUAUAGGAAGGAACACCAGUGGCGAAGGCGACCACCUGGACUGAUACUGACACUGAGGUGCGAAAGCGUGGGGAGCAAACAGGAUUAGAUACCCAAGUAGUCCCUGAGCGGGCUGGCAAGGCGCAU